AGGACGAACGCUGGCGGCGUGCUUAACACAUGCAAGUCGAGCGGUAAGGCCUUUCGGGGUACACUAGCGGCGAACGGGUGAGUAACACGUGGGUGAUCUGCCCUGCACUUCGGGAUAAGCCUGGGAAACUGGGUCUAAUACCGGAUAUGACCUCAGGUUGCAUGACUUGGGGUGGAAAGAUUUAUCGGUGCAGGAUGGGCCCGCGGCCUAUCAGCUUGUUGGUGGGGUAAUGGCCUACCAAGGCGACGACGGGUAGCCGACCUGAGAGGGUGACCGGCCACACUGGGACUGAGACACGGCCCAGACUCCUACGGGAGGCAGCAGUGGGGAAUAUUGCACAAUGGGCGAAAAGCCUGAUGCAGCGACGCCGCGUGGGGGAUGACGGGCCUC
rnacentral:rRNA from 1 species